AUGUUCGCUGCUGCCCGGCCCCGGCCCGCCGGCCGCGUGGCGAGUUCGAGGCCCGAGUCCGCUAGCCCCGCGGCCGCUGACACCUGCAGCCCCGAGCCCGGGAGAUGGUGUCCCAGUCGGCGGGCGGGCCCGAGGCCCCCGGGGAGGCCCGCGGGAGGGCCGGCAGGGGCCCCGGCGACCCGGGCGGCCCGCGCAGCUCCCCGCACCUCGAGCGGCCCCGCUGCGCGCCCGACGCCAGGCUGCGGAGGCACAGGGCCGCCUGGGUGCAGCCGCCGCCCGCGCAGCGCCCGGGGCCCGACUCGCCCUCCGCGGGGGCCCCGGGGCGCCGGCCGGCCUGUCCCCGGGGCAAGGGGGGCCCGGAGCCCCGGGAGCUGCCCCCCGCCCCGCCUGCGCCCCGGACCCAGGGCGGCGCUGCUCCGCCGCCUCCAGCGCAGGAAGGUACGAGGCUCCUGGGUGCGGCCCGGGCCCGCGGCAGGUGCAUCCCCCGGGAGGGGGGGGGCGCCCCGGGAGGUGCCCGUGCCCCGCCUGCGCCCCGGCCCACGCGGGAAGGUACUAGGCCCUGCGGCAGGUGCAUCCUGGGGGGUGGGUGGGGGCGAGAGGUGCUGUGCCCCGCCUGCGCCCCGGCCCGAGGGCGGUGCUGCUCCGCCGCCUCCCGUGUGGGAAGGUACGUGGCUCCUGGGUGCGGCCCGGGCCCCCCGCGGCAGGUGCAUCCCCGGGAGGUGGGGGGGUGGGGGGGCGCCCUGAGAGGUGCUGUGCCCCGCCUGUGCCCUGGCCCAUGCUGGAAGGUACGAGGCUCCUGGGUACGCCCCGGACCCUGCG
rnacentral:lncRNA from 1 species